GCACGGGUUGGACGCUGUAGUGAGAUAUAUGGCUACAUGCAAGCAUGCAUGUUAAGCCUUUGUAGAGAAGAAUUUUUUUUGUUAAUCUUUCGAAAUUCGUAACUUUCAAUCCAAAAUUUCGAUUGAGGAAUAGUUUUCGUCUACAUGUUCAGUGAAUCGAGCUCAACAUUCUAAGGUAAAUUUUGAGGAAUUAUUAUUUAGGUUUGAAUAAUUCGUUCAAAUUGGGUUUAUGACUAAUUAGGCUUAAAUCUUCGAUUCAAGCUUGUUCUUGCAUAAUUUGAGGGCUUUGAAGCCUAUUUGAUGACUGGACAACGAUUUCUCAGACAUUAAGGUAAAGAUUUACAUAUGAUCAGAUUUUUGGGAUUUUGUACAAGUUUCAUAUGGAUGAGAUUUAGAAAAAAAAUUGAUGUUUGACUCGAAAUUCAUCAAAUUUAGUCCUUAAAGGACGUUUGUAUGGAAGAAGUGAGUUGUACUAUUGAUGGAUUGUGUUUUGGCUUGAAAGAUAUGUUGAAUUUCUGGGAAAAUAGACCUCAAAGCCACUGGUUUCAUACCAGGGACUGAACUACAAAAAUAGUUUUAGUUUUGGGGUAAUUGUGUAAAUUACUAAAAGUUUGGGGUCCAAAGUGCAAUUAUCAAAAAUUUUGGGAUCUAUUUGAAAUAAUAAAAAGUUCAAAUACAUAAUUUUUAUUCUGGUUAAGUGAAGGUCCCUAUUGGAUAUAGUUGUUGUUAUGGGAAUAAAGUUUAGUCAUUAUAUAUGGACAUAUAGUGGCAUAUUGUAAUUGUUGAACUAGGGACUCCAAUUACUCGUAGUGCUUGCGUUUAAUCGAGGUAUUGGUGAGGAAUAUUGCUUGCUUGGCUUGGAGACCAGGUAGGAGAAUCCUCACUUACCCUAGUUAUGGAAUUUUGUGCAUGUAUGUAUAUGUAAAUAUACGAAUGCCUAUGAAAGCUACAUAGAUUUUGUUGUGAUAGAACCAUAAGGAAAAAUGGUUUUGUUUUAUAUCAUGAUAUACAUGUUUUGUUUUAUGCUACAAAUUAAAGUGAUGACUUGAGAGUGAAGGGGGCAUAGCGACCGCCUUGGGUUUCGAUCCCCUAAACCUCCGGAGGGGAUACUACAAAGGGAUUAGUAUCGCUACCUUUCUAGGAGAGGUACUAGGACAUCUAAGGGUAGAGCAUUAAGGGACACUCUCGCUACAACUUACCAUAAGUAUAUUCGUUCGGAGUUGGUCCAGGUAAGCGAGUAGUUGGUCAUUAGACUGGUCAUCAGGCAUGUAGCAAUUUAUUGGGAUCCCUAUUGUUUUUUUAAAGGAAAUUGUGUGAGCAUAUAACCUAUUUUCAAAACUAAACAAAGCUUUUGUUGUGCAUCAAUCAUUUUCCUAUAGUAUAUAUAGUGUCGUAUACUAUUUUCAAACCUAGCUGGGGUGGAUUCCCUGAGGGGGAACGAUGAACGUUUGUGAUGCUUACCAUUACUUUAUUACAGGUCUGGUGCACCUAUAAGUAGACGAACUGGACAAAAGUCGGGACUAGCGUUGUUUGUUACUUGUCAACUUCUCAGUUGUUCAUAGCCUCAUCGUCUUGAAGGGAUUUUUGUAGCCAAACUCAACGUUUUGCAUUUUCAAAUCGUACUAAAGAGUUGGUUUAGUAUGAUAAUUACCUUAAACUCUUUGGUUUUGUUGUAGAUUGUGAAAUUCUUUUCCUAUGUAAAAAUUUUAUCCAAAUUCAGUUGCCCUUUUAUUCUUCGUUUUACCAAUAUAAUUUCCGCUUCCGUACUGCUCAAAAAUAAAUUAUUUUAUUCCCCUCAAAUAGCCUUACGUUCUAUUAGGAAUGUAGUGCUAUAGUGUUAGAUUUUAACACUAUAGUAUUAAGUUACUAAUAGAGCAUGGCAUUAUUACGUGCCUCUUUUUGGGGCGUGACAGUAUAUGUCUCAACCACAAGGCUUUGAAAGUUCAAUUCAUC
rnacentral:lncRNA from 1 species